rnacentral:lncRNA from 1 species
GCGAACAAAACUUUGCUCAUUCUUUUUUCAUUCAUUCAUAGGGAUAGCGAACGGAACAGAACAGGAACACACGACAGGUAGCAUCACGGACAAACACCUAAUGGUAACCCUUAAACAUCUCAAACCCUACGCGAUGGAGCGAGAUCUAGGAUACUCGGGAGCGAUAACAUCACAGAUAAAAGGUAACAAGGAUAACUGGCCACGAGGGGCCCCACCAUUCACUCCCUCCAGUUGCCGCCGCCGGAGCCUCCACGGCUGCCACCGUAGCCGCCGCCGCCACCACCGUAGCCGCCGCCGCCACCAUAGCCGCCGCCACCUUGACGCUGGCCAUAGCCGCCACCGCCGCCACCACCGUAGCCGCCGCCGCCGCCGCCGUAGCCGCCGCCGCCGCCCUCACGUCGCCCGCCGUAGCCGCCGCCGCCUCCUCCGCCACGACCGCCGCCGCCACCACGGGACUGCGCUUCGUUGACGGUGAUGUUGCGGCCAUCCAGGUCCUUGCCGUUCAUGCCCUCGAUGGCGUCGCGCAUCGACUGCUCGCUGGCGAAGGUGACGAAGCCGAACCCGCGGGAACGGCCAGUCUCCCUGUCGUUGAUGAUCUGUGGACAGAAAAGAGCAUGGUCAGAUUUGUUUGCCAAGCCAAUGGCAAAGCGAAAGACGUAGAACAUCAGAUCUAGAAUUCAAAGACUUUGACCAAGUACGGAGUACAAACUAACAGAUGAUACGCAGAUCUAAGUUAACACAACACGAGAAAUAGGAAAACAACGACAUCUGCAUAACACGGCAGAGAUCUACAACAUAUAUAAUCACCAGAUCUGUACAAAGACGCGCAAAACCAAAAGAGGAUGCAGCAAACGAGAAGGUAACAGAGGAAAGCUCCUAGACAAACCUUGGAGUCGAUGAUCUCGCCGAAGGAGGAGAAGGCAUCCUGGAGACCACGGUCGUCGGUAGCCCAGGCGAGGCCGCCCACGAAGCAACGGUACUCAACUUCCGCCAUUCCUCCCACUAAACCCUAACGAACCGGAACCGGAACCGAGGACUAGUGAGGGGGAGGAGAAGCCAACCCACCUCUAUGAAAGCAC